rnacentral:lncRNA from 1 species
UAACUUUUGAUGAUUACAAAACAAUUGGAUGCUACUAACAUACUUUGAAGAGUUCAUUUCAGGAUUUGGAACAAAAACCAGACCAAAGACUUGAAGCUAAAACUGGAUCAAGGUUUGACAAAUUACUGAAAUUACUGUCAGACGCACAAAAGGACCAUAUCGGACGGCCGACAACCAUUGAGUAACUUCGGACACAUGAAGAACUCACACUCGGACGUCCGAAGGUAAUGUGUCAAAACAUCUAUGAU